GUUCGAAAGUUGGCGGCGCGUUUUGUUGCGAAUGAGACAGACAAUAUGCAAUAAAGAAAACGAAUAGAUUUAUAAAGGGCUAACCUGUUUUGCGUUGCCGAAGCCUCGAUGGAAGGUAUGGUAACGUUGAAUUUCUCUCCUCUUCAUUCGCUUGCAUUAUAACGCAAACGUAAUAAUGACGUCAUGCAAACCGAAUUGAAGAACAUUCAAAGUGUGAAUGCAAAGGCAACAUAAAAUCAGCAUACCUAUUUUUCGGCUCCUUUGCUCUCAGCCAUCUGUCAAACUCUUGUUUUGAUUUCGUUUCUGCGCCGUAAAGUUCGGAGCGGCAUCUCGGCAGUGAUUAGGUUUUAGGUUUCGCUCAAAAAUCUUGCCGUUCAUUCCAGCUCAUCAGAUGGAGGCAAACGAAGCAAUGAUAGACGACUGCGAGGCGAGUUUUCCUGGUCAGUUGCGGGGUUCGAAUGGCCCCACGCUUGGUGCACAAAUAGAUGAGUCAUUCAAUCUCUGUGUCCAUCGCCAUUCAGAUGCUAGUUCUCUGGUGGUGCUACGUGACUGCACCAACUCUAUGAGGGAAGACCAGGUUGAUGAAUUCUUUGUUUCUCCGCCAACUCCAAAGCGCAACCCAACG